rnacentral:rRNA from 1 species
AGAGUUUGAUCCUGGCUCAGAACGAACGCUGGCGGUAUGCCUAACACAUGCAAGUCGAACGCGAACGAAACCUUCGGGUUUCAAGUAGAGUGGCGCAUGGGUGAGUAACACGUGGAUAAUCUGCCCUAAGGUUUGGGAUAACACUUCGAAAGGGGUGCUAAUACCGGAUAAGCUCACGCCUUCCUCGGAAGAAGUGAGAAAAGAUUUAUUGCCUUAGGAUGAGUCCGCGGUCCAUUAGCUAGUUGGUGGGGUAACGGCCUACCAAGGCUGCGAUGGAUAGCUGGUCUGAGAGGAUGAUCAGCCACACUGGAACUGAGACACGGUCCAGACUCCUACGGGAGGCAGCAGUGGGGAAUUUUGCGCAAUGGGGGAAACCCUGACGCAGCAAUACCGCGUGAAGGAUGAAGGCCCUUGGGUCGUAAACUUCUGUCAGUGGGGAAGAAAUGCCCGUAAGGGAGAUGACGGUACCCACAAAGGAAGCACCGGCUAACUCCGUGCCAGCAGCCGCGGUAAUACGGAGGGUGCAAGCGUUGUUCGGGAUUAUUGGGCGUAAAGAGCAUGUAGGCGGUCUGUUAAGUCUGGUGUGAAAGCCCGGGGCUCAA